rnacentral:rRNA from 1 species
UGAGGAACAUGACCUUCGGCGGGGGAUAGCCGGCCCAACGGCCGGGUAAUACCGCGUACGACCUUCCGGGACAUCCCUGGAUGGUGAAAGCAGCAAUGCGCCGAUGGAGUGCCUCGCGGCCUAUCAGCUAGUUGGUGAGGUAACGGCUCACCAAGGCGACGACGGGUAGCUGGUCUGAGAGGAUGGCCAGCCACAGUUGGGACUGAGACACGGCCCAGACCUCCGUACGGGAGCAG